ACUCCUACGGGAGGCAGCAGUCGGGAAUUUUGCGCAAUGGGCGAAAGCCUGACGCAGCAACGCCGCGUGAGGGAUGAAGGCCUUCGGGUUGUAAACCUCUUUUCUCAGGGACGAUGAUGACGGUACCUGAGGAAUAAGCCACGGCUAACUACGUGCCAGCAGCCGCGGUAAU
rnacentral:rRNA from 1 species